GACGAACCGUGCGAACGUUAUUCGGAAUCAUUGGGCGUAAAGAGCGCGUAGGCGGCCCUGUAAGUCCGCUGUGAAAGUCAAGGGCUCAACCCGGGAACUGCGUCCGAUACUGGAAGGCUUGAAUCCGGGAGAGGGAUGUGGAAUUCCAGGUGUAGCGGUGAAAUGCGUAGAUAUCUGGAGGAACACCGGUGGCGAAGGCGACAUCCUGGACCGGUAUUGACGCUGAGGCGCGAAAGCCAGGGGAGCAAACGGG
rnacentral:rRNA from 1 species